AUGGUGAAUGCCUUGGGCUCUUCAAUGUCGAUGAAGGACGUGAUUACCUGCGAUAAGCUUCGGGUAGGUGGAAAUAACCUUUGAUCCGGAGAUCUCCGAAUAGGGAAACCUUUAGUAUUGAAGAUACUAAAUCAUAAUGAAGAUAACCCAGAGAACUGAAACAUCUAAGUACCUGGAGGAAAAGAAAACAACAGUGAUUCCCCAAGUAGUGGCGAGCGAACGGGGAACAGCCCAAAACCAAGUAAUGUUAAGGCAUUCUUGGGGUUGUAGGACUGCAACGUGGACUUUUUAAUUGGAAAUGGAAGCUGUCUGGAAAGCAGCAUCAUAGAAGGUGAUAAUCCUGUACAUGAAUCCAAUUAGAUACCUAGCAGUAUCCUGAGUACCGCGGGGUCGGAGACGCCCUGCGGGAAUCCACCGGCACCAUCCGGUAAGGCUAAAAUACAAUUGAGAGACCGAUAGUGAACAAGUACUGUGAAGGAAAGGUGAAAAAGACCGCGAACAGCGGAGUGAAAUAGACCUGAAACCAUGU
rnacentral:rRNA from 1 species